CCUACGGGAGGCAGCAGUGGGGAAUCUUGCGCAAUGGGCGAAAGCCUGACGCAGCCAUGCCGCGUGAAUGAUGAAGGUCUUAGGAUUGUAAAAUUCUUUUAGCAGGGACGAUAAUGACGGUACCUGCAGAAAAAGCCCCGGCUAACUUCGUGCCAGCAGCCGCGGUAAUACGAAGGGGGCUAGCGUUGCUCGGAAUUACUGGGCGUAAAGGGAGCGUAGGCGGGUUAUCAAGUUGGAGGUGAAAGCCCAGGGCUCAACCUUGGAAUUGCCUUCAAAACUGAUAGCCUAGAGUAUGGAAGAGGUAAGUGGAACUCCGAGUGUAGAGGUGAAAUUCGUAGAUAUUCGGAAGAACACCAGUGGCGAAGGCGACUUACUGGUCCAUGACUGACGCUGAGGCUCGAAAGCGUGGGGAGCAAACAGGAUUAGAUACCCUGGUAGUCCACGCUGUAAACGAUGAUUGCUAGUUGUCGGGCGGCAUGCGUCGGUGCGCNGCUACGCAUAAGUACAUACCGUCCGUCGGGAGGUACGGUCGCGAGAGUUAAACGUACGAAGUAAGUAAGUUAGUUACGGCGUGAGACGUGCCGACGGCGACGACGAGGGAGGAGG
rnacentral:rRNA from 1 species